rnacentral:rRNA from 1 species
UACGAAGGGGGCUAGCGUUGCUCGGAAUUACUGGGCGUAAAGCGCACGUAGGCGGCUCUUUAAGUCGGAGGUGAAAUCCUGGAGCUCAACUCCAGAACUGCCUUCGAUACUGAAGAGCUCGAGUCCGGGAGAGGUGAGUGGGACUGCGAGUGUAGAGGUGAAAUUCGUAGAUAUUCGCAAGAACACCAGUGGCGAAGGCGGCCCCCUGGGCAGUAACUGACACUGAGGCGCGACAGCGUGGGGAGCAAACAGG